UUUGACCUCCAUAGGAAAUCUACAAGGGGAACAACAACAAAGGAAACUGGUGUAAGAUUUAGUACCAAUACUCGGAGAUGAGCUACCAUCAAGAUUAUGUCUCGACAAUCAAGUAUAGUGUCACACUUAUGAUUUAUCUGCAAAGGUGCAACAAUGGAGAUUCAAACUAAUGUCGCAUCCUACAAGCAAAUAAGACUACACUCCAGUUUUAACUCUUACUACCUAUUUUUAUUUCAUGUAGCUACUUGUUCAUGUCUUUGAUUUAGGUUAUUUGCUUCUGCCCUCCCUGUGAUUGCAGAUUUAAUUUAAGCCCAGACCAUGCUAGCAGUGAGUUGGAAUCAGUUUAAAUUGUUAUGUUCUCGUUGUC